rnacentral:sRNA from 1 species
UUGCUGUUAUAUUUUUUCUAGGUCGGAAAAAGCUAACGCGAACGGAGAGAGCAAAAAUUUGGAGGAAAGCGAAUUCAAACGAGAUGGUCGCAAUGACCGUUCUGUGUCGAAGAAAACUUCUCAAAAUGAACUUGUUUUGCAGACAUCUAAUAAAUAUUCUGGACUCGACAAUGAAGGAUCGGAAUAAUAUAUUUGUGUUUCUUAAAAAUAAAUAAAAAUAAAGAAAAUAUGAUUCUAUGACAUAA